UACGUAGGGUGCAAGCGUUGUCCGGAAUUAUUGGGCGUAAAGAGCUUGUAGGCGGUUUGUCGCGUCUGCUGUGAAAUUUCGGGGCUCAACCCCGAACUUGCAGUGGGUACGGGCAGGCUAGAGUGUGGUAGGGGAGACUGGAAUUCCUGGUGUAGCGGUGAAAUGCGCAGAUAUCAGGAGGAACACCGGCGGCGAAGGCGACGCUCUGGUCCAUUACUGACGCUGAGGUGCGAAAGCCAGGGGAGCAAACGGG
rnacentral:rRNA from 1 species